rnacentral:lncRNA from 1 species
GCUGCUCAGGGGAUGUUGUAUGCAGGGCAGAUGCUGGGCAUCUGAGUAACAGAAGCCAUGAGGAGGGAGCAGCUCCCUUUUAUGAGCCAGGGUCAGGUGGAAGUGAGCCCAACCCAUCCUGUCCCCUCCUGAGCUCAGGUAUGUCUAGUAACCUACUGCAGAGCCAGAGGUGACGGUUGAUCCUACCUAUACUGACUAGUACAGGUCAAGCUAACCCUUCCAUGGGUGUAUCAGCCAGCCUCAGAUGUUUGCAUGGACUCCUGCAAGGGGCAAGGCAAGACAAGAUUGUCUGUGCUGUGCCUCAGAUGACCCAGAACUGGGCCUGUCGUCAUGUUGCUUCAUGGCUUGUCAUGUUCCUUUUGAUUUACUUCAGACCAAAAAAUUGCAGUCAUCCCCUGCCUGCCUCCACCCUCAGAUCAGAGACCCUGUAGCCUGAGUGCAGUACCCAAGAGUGUUGGGUGUGGGAGUGAGGGUACCUGGCCAGGCCUCCACAUUGUGCCCUUGGACUGAGCCAGCCCUCGCCAGGAAUCUUAGUUCUCUUACUGAACACCUGAAUGCGUUCAGGGCACCAUUCCACCCUUCCAGGGAAGUGACAGGGCAUGCCAGCCCCCGCUCCCUACCACUCACCCACCCAGCAGCACUUAAGUCCCAGGACACAAGGUCUGAAUGGCAUGGGAAUUCCGUGUGGCUCCCAGGCUGUGGGCACCCUCAUCUUCAGACAUUCAGGGCCUGGGAGCAGAACCCUAGGUACGCUCUGCAUGUCUGUGGGACGGAGUGUUGUGCCCGCCUGCCUUAGUGUUGUAACAAGCCUUUUCUAUAUUUUAAAGAGAAAGCAAAACACUAGUUUCCUAUUUAAGAUUUAAGGGUUGUUGGGAUGGGUGGGAUCCACACUUGGAUUCUCUUUUCUUUGUUUCCACUGGCGCAUGUUGUGAGUGUGUCUCUGUGUGUGUCUGUGUGUGUGGAGAUGUUAAGAGCCUCAUGGAAAUCAUGCCAUAGGAGGCCAAGGCGGCGUACAGUUCUCUGUUUUAGUCAUUUAAUUCCUGAAUGUUUUGGAGAAACAGGAAACAGAAAAUAGCAAAUGUCAUGUAGAAAAAAAAAAGUUAAAAAAAAAAGAUAAAAAAAAAAAAUCAAAGGAAAAAAAAGCUCAUACCCAAAUUCACAAAACCUAUUUUUUAAACCAAAGCACAUUUUGAAUGAGUAUGGAACCUCAGUGGGCUCAGAAAAAAAAAAAAGCUAAUAUAUUUAUCUCAUUGUUUACAUAAACUUAAACAGUUUCAGACCUCAGCAGCUAUGACACCAGUCCCAGGGAAACUCCCCCCUCCCACCUGGGUCCUUCUGAGUCGACCCUUGAGCAGCUCAAGGGCAGAGGCAGCCCUGGGCGCUGGGUAAGGACCAGAAGUCCCCCCUAGCUUCACCUGAGCCCUCAUCCCCAGUUUUUGGGGCCUCUUCAAGCUCAGCUGCCACCAAAGAGCAUGCACCAAGCUGACCAGCCCCCAGGCUUCCUAGCUGAACCCAAGGGGUGGAUGUUGGCCCUGCCCAUGAGCCUUGUGUUACUGUGAGAGUCACUCAAGCCAAAAAGCAGGUAGCUUUAGAAAGCUCAGUGGACUCUGUCAUGCACACAAACUAUCCCGGGCAGCAAAAGGGUCUGACUUGAGUCUGGUCCUUACUGACAUGGUGCGAACACUCUCAACAGUGUUGUUUUUGUAUCAAUGUUUGUGCAGUGAUGAAUGUAUUUAUUUCUCAGACUUAGGGCAAGCUGGUUGGAGCAGGCCCAGCUCUGCCAGUGCCCACUCCCACCGGACCGAGCUACUGCAAGGGCUCUUCCAAGGUUGCAAAAAGGAAAAGAUGAACUUAACAUGUAAGAACCUCAGACUUGCAGCAUAGCCAUACUCCUCAGCUGUGACUCCUGGCCUCAUGUGGCCCAGGAGGUGUGUUUUCCGUCCAUCAACACUGAGGGGAGCCAGGUCCCCACCUGCUGCCCACACUAUCAGUAUUCACUGGACCUCAGGUCCUUGUGCAGGAGUGCGAUCUGCUGUGCUGUCUGUCUGUCAGCUGGCAGACUGCUGCCUUCCUGAGUAGGGGAGCCCUGGGCAGCCGGGAGGGCAGGGCUCAGGGAGCAAGUGCUGUGAACGGAGGCAGAAACCAAGGGCAAGGCCUGAAAAGAAUGGACAGGCUCUCAAAGCCCUGCUCUGCUCUAUUAAAGGGACCAAGGUCUUCCUUUCCCCAGUCACGAUGGGGCCAAUGUUACUGAACCUAUGAAAUGGAUGCCAGGAAUGAGGGAUAGAGAGGGACCCGACCUCAGUCUGACAUUCCAACCCAGGAAAGGUGGGAGCUGUGGACCCAUGCUGCCCAGGACCCCCUUCCUAGGACGCCUGCAGCGUCAGUCACCUUACUUUAACUUUCUACCAGGGACCCCUCCCCUACCUCACCUCGCUAUUUAUUGCUGUAAUUUAUUGACCUCAAAAAUGCUGCAUAACAGACCUCACGGGUCAGGGAGAGUUCCCAGGGUCCUCCCCUCCACUUGGUGGGGCCCCAUGGGGCCAGGUGCUGAGAGGAACCCCCUGUACCCACCCAUCACUCACUUCCUCCCAGAGCCCCAGGUUGGGUUCUGUCCAUCCCAUUUGCAAAUACCUCAGGAGGGAUGGGGCGUAUGUGUUUCAUUUCAUUGGAACUGGAAGAGGGAUCACAACAUCCUUUCUGCCCUUCCCCAAGCAGGGGAGGGGCUGGAAUCGCACUCCUGUACUGCUCACCCUGUUGCCACUCAUCACAUUGAAUUGAGUUUACUUCCCUAAAGAGUUUGGAUGGAUGCAUUCAGGUCAGAGCUGCAGCUUUGCAGCCCUCCAGUGGUAGAGUGAUUUAUCCAUGACUAGUCUCUCCAUUCGAAAGCGUGCAGUCUUAAUGUACAGUGAUGAGAAACUGUUAUUUUAUGAUCUUUUCAUUAAACGCUUGAUUGAAAACCUG